UUUCCCGGUUGAUCCCGCCGGACCCCACUGCUAUCGGGGUGGGACUAAAACAUGCAAGUCGAGCGCCUCCAAGCUAUGGUGAAGGCGCGGCAAACGGCUCAGUAACACGUGGCCAACCUACCCUUGGGACGGAGACAACCCCGGGAAACUGGGGCUAAUCCCCGAUAGGUGAGGAAUCCUGGAAUGGACCCUCGCCCAAAAGACGUUGAGUCCAUGCUAUUCAGCGUCGCCCAAGGAUGGAGCCGCGACCGAUCAGGUAGUUGGUGAGGCAACGGCUCACCAAGCCUAUAACCGGUACGGGCCGUGAGAGCGGGAGCCCGGAGAUGGGCACUGAGACAAGGGCCCAGGCCCUACGGGGCGCAGCAGUUGCGAAAACUCCGCAAUGCGCGAAAGCGUGACGGGGCUACCCCGAGUGCCGCCCGUUGAGGGCGGCUUUUCCACGGUGUAAGGAGCCGUGGGAAUAAGGAGAGGGCAAGACUGGUGUCAGCCGCCGCGGUAAUACCAGCUCUCCGAGUGGUGGGGACGAUUAUUGGGCUUAAAGCGUUCGUAGCCGGCUUAACAAGUCUUCCGUUAAAUCCAACGAUCUAAUCGUUGGGCUGCGGGAGAUACUGUUGGGCUAGGAGGCGGGAGAAGCCGACGGUAUUCUCGGGGUAGGGGUGAAAUCCUGUAAUCCCGGGAGGACCACCAGUGGCGAAGGCGGUCGGCUAGAACGCGCUCGACGGUGAGGGACGAAAGCUGGGGGAGCGAACCGGAUUAGAAACCCGGGUAGUCCCAGCUGUAAACGAUGCGGGCUAGGUGUUGGGGUGGCCACGAGCCACUUCAGUGCCGCAUGGAAGCAAUUAAGCCCGCCGCCUGGGGAGUACGGCCGCAAGGCUGAAACUUAAAGGAAUUGGCGGGGGAGCACCACAAGGCGUGAAGCUUGCGGUUUAAUUGGAUUCAACGCCGGA
rnacentral:rRNA from 1 species